GUAAGAGUUGACAGAAGGUUCCACUCUAGGCUAGGUAGCUCUGACAUUAUUGCCGCCAUCUGCUGGUGGACCAGGUACAUUACAUGUUAACAGUCACAAAAUCAGAAAUACAAAUACACAUUAUGCAGGACCAGGAAAUAAAUCAACCAUAAGAGAUAGUAGAGGGGUGUAAGAGGUGGUAAUGCCACUCUGGGGCGUUACAUUUGGUUAGAUGCAGGUUGAGAGGGGUGGUAUACAUUUGUGUGCAGGUUGUGAGGGGUCGUUGGGUGCAAGUCUUGGGGGUCGUAUGUAGAUGAGUACAGGUCUUGAUGGGUGAUACACGAUUGGGUGCAGGACUUGAGGGAUGGUAUACGGUUGGGUGCAGGUCUUGAAGGGUGGUAUACGGUUGGGUGCAGGUCUUGAAGGGUGGUAUACGGUUGAGUACAGGUCUUGAAGGGUGGUAUACGGUUGGGUGCAGGUCAUGAGGGGUGGUAUACGGUUGAGUGCAGGUCGUGAGGGGUGGUAUACGGUUGAGUGCAGGUCUUGAGGGGUGGUAUACGGUAGAGUGCAGGUCUUGAGGGGUGGUAUACGGUUGAGUGCAGGUCGUGAGGGGUGGUAUACGGUUGAGUGCAGGUCGUGAGGGGUGGUAUACGGUUGAGUGCAGGUCGUGAGGGGUGGUAUACGGUUGAGUGCAGGUCGUGAGGGGUGGUAUACGGUUGAGUGCAGCUUUUGAUGGGUAUAUGGUGGAGUGCAGGUCUUGAGGGGGUGGAAUACGGUUAAGAGCAGGUCUUGAGGGGUGGUAUACGGUUGGGUGCAGGUCUUGAGGGGUGGUAUAUGGUUGGGUGCAGGUCAUGAGGGGUGGAAUACAGUUGGGUGCAGGUCUUAAAGGGUGGUAUAUGGUUGGUUGCAGGUCAUGAGGGGUGGAAUACAGUUGGGUGCGGGUCUUUGGGCGUGGUAUAUAGAUGAGUGCAGGUCUUGAGGGGUGGUAUACGAUUGGGUGCAGGUCAUGAGGGGUGGUAUACAAAUGGGUGCAGGUCAUGAGGGGUGGUAUACGGUUGGGUGCAGGUCUUGAUCUGCUCUUUCCUAACAGUAAGAUAUCUACUGACCUGAGAGAUGGUUCUCUGCCCUGACUGAUGAGACAGAACAGAUCUUCUUCCACAUUGGGUUAUUGACUCGGUCACGGGUCCCCAAUGUGUAACCAGAACCCCCAAUAACAGACUCCGUGUAACAUCCGUCAUACAAUCACAUGUACAAAUGUCCCUGUUUAGUUCAUGUCUUAGGAGGGGAUCAUGUGACGCCCCCAUAAGGCACCUAUGUGCUACAUCUGAUCUGAGAAUGGCAGAAUAAAUCGGAAGUUACGUCUAGUCACAUUAUGCUAUAGAACGCCACAUAUCGGCGUAUCCGGAAGUCUAAAGCCGAAGCCCGAUUACCACAAAUGGAAGCUACCACCUGGUGGAGGAGGUGUAAACUACAGGUCACAUGGACAGGAGGUGACAGCGGGAAGGAAUAUUCUGUAUAUAGUCAUAGACUGAUGACACACGGUGUAUACCCCAGGUAGAGGCUACCACCUAGUGGGGGAGGUGUAAACUACAGGUCACAUGGACAGGAGGUGACAGCGGGAAGGAUUAUUCUGUAUAUAGUCAUAGACUGAUGACACACAGUGUAUACCCCGGGUAGAGGCUACCACCUAGUGGAGGAGGUGUAAACUACAGGUCACAUGGACAGGGAGGUGACAGCGGGAAGGAAUAUUCUGUAUAUAGUCAUAGACUGAUGACACACGGUGUAUACCCCGGGUAGAGGCUACCACCUAGUGGGGGAGGUGUAAACUACAGGUCACAUGGACAGGGAGGUGACAGCGGGAAGGAUUAUUCUGUAUAUAGUCAUAGACUGAUGACACACGGUGUAUACCCCGGGUAGAGGCUACCACCUAGUGGAGGAGGUGUAAACUACAGGUCACAUGGACAGGAGGUGACAGCGGGAAGGAUUAUUCUGUAUAUAGUCAUAGACUGAUGACACAAGGUGUAUACCCCGGGUAGAGGCUACCACCUAGUGGGGGAGGUGUAAACUACAGGUCACAUGGACAGGAGGUGACAGCGGGAAGGAAUAUUCUGUAUAUAGUCAUAGACUGGUGACACACGGUGUAUACCCCGGGUAGAGGCUACCACCUAGUGGAGGAGGUGUAAACUACAGGUCACAUGGACAGGAGGUGACAGCGGGAAGGAAUAUUCUGUAUAUAGUCAUAGACUGAUGACACAAGGUGUAUACCCCGGGUAGAGGCUACCACCUAGUGGAGGAGGUGUAAACUACAGGUCACAUGGACAGGAGGUGACAGCGGGAAGGAUUAUUCUGUAUAUACUCAUAGACUGAUGACACACGGUGUAUACCCCGGGUAGAGGCUACCACCUAGUGGAGGAGGUGUAAACUACAGGUCACAUGGACAGGGAGGUGACAGCGGGAAGGAUUAUUCUGUAUAUACUCAUAGACUGAUGACACACGGUGUAUACCCCGGGUAGAGGCUACCACCUAGUGGAGGAGGUGUAAACUACAGGUCACAUGGACAGGAGGUGACAGCGGGAAGGAUUAUUCUGUAUAUAGUCAUAGACUGAUGACACAAGGUGUAUACCCCGGGUAGAGGCUACCACCUAGUGGGGGAGGUGUAAACUACAGGUCACAUGGACAGGAGGUGACAGCGGGAAGGAUUAUUCUGUAUAUAGUCAUAGACUGAUGACACAAGGUGUAUACCCCGGGUAGAGGCUACCACCUGGUGGAGGAGGUGUAAACUACAGGUCACAUGGACAGGGAGGUGACAGCGGGAAGGAAUAUUCUGUAUAUAGUCAUAGACUGAUGACACACGGUGUAUACCCCGGGUAGAGGCUACCACCUAGUGGAGGAGGUGUAAACUACAGGUCACAUGGACAGGAGGUGACAGCGGGAAGGAUUAUUCUGUAUAUAGUCAUAGACUGAUGACACACGGUGUAUACCCCGGGUAGAGGCUACCACCUGGUGGAGGAGGUGUAAACUACAGGUCACAUGGACAGGAGGUGACAGCGGGAAGGAUUAUUCUGUAUAUAGUCAUAGACUGAUGACACACGGUGUAUACCCCGGGUAGAGGCUACCACCUAGUGGGGGAGGUGUAAACUACAGGUCACAUGGACAGGGAGGUGACAGCGGGAAGGAUUAUUCUGUAUAUAGUCAUAGACUGAUGACACACGGUGUAUACCCCGGGUAGAGGCUACCACCUAGUGGAGGAGGUGUAAACUACAGGUCACAUGGACAGGAGGUGACAGCGGGAAGGAUUAUUCUGUAUAUAGUCAUAGACUGAUGACACAAGGUGUAUACCCCGGGUAGAGGCUACCACCUAGUGGGGGAGGUGUAAACUACAGGUCACAUGGACAGGAGGUGACAGCGGGAAGGAAUAUUCUGUAUAUAGUCAUAGACUGGUGACACACGGUGUAUACCCCGGGUAGAGGCUACCACCUAGUGGGGGAGGUGUAAACUACAGGUCACAUGGACAGGAGGUGACAGCGGGAAGGAAUAUUCUGUAUAUAGUCAUAGACUGAUGACACACGGUGUAUACCCCGGGUAGAGGCUACCACCUAGUGGAGGAGGUGUAAACUACAGGUCACAUGGACAGGAGGUGACAGCGGGAAGGAUUAUUCUGUAUAUAGUCAUAGACUGAUGACACAAGGUGUAUACCCCGGGUAGAGGCUACCACCUAGUGGAGGAGGUGUAAACUACAGGUCACAUGGACAGGAGGUGACAGCGGGAAGGAAUAUUCUGUAUAUAGUCAUAGACUGAUGACACACGGUGUAUACCCCGGGUAGAGGCUACCACCUAGUGGAGGAGGUGUAAACUACAGGUCACAUGGACAGGAGGUGACAGCGGGAAGGAUUAUUCUGUAUAUAGUCAUAGACUGAUGACACACGGUGUAUACCCCGGGUAGAGGCUACCACCUAGUGGGGGAGGUGUAAACUACAGGUCACAUGGACAGGAGGUGACAGCGGGAAGGAAUAUUCUGUAUAUAGUCA